rnacentral:tRNA from 2 species
ACUCCCGUAGCUCAACUGGUAGAGCGUCGGUCUCCAAAACCGAAGGUUGCAGGUUCGAGGCCUGCCCGGAGUG